ensembl:lncRNA LINC01496 long intergenic non-protein coding RNA 1496
AUUAUUUGCUGGGAGUGAGAGAGGUCCCACUUCCACCAUUGGGGAUUACAAUUUAACAUGAGAUUUGGGCGAGGACAAGUAUCCAAACUAUGUCAGCUGUGAAAGUUUGGGGAAAAGGGAUUUAUUUUUACAUUUUUUCUUAGCUGUUUCCCAAGAAGAUAUCCACAUCAUCUACAAAUAAUGACAACUUUGUGUUUUUACCAACAUAUAUCAGAUUUUUUUCUCUUUACAACUCAUUCCACUAGAAAGAAAUUGUAAGACAAUACUUAAUAACAUUUUUGAUAGUAGGCAGACUUGUCUUGCUCCUGAUUGUAAUGCAGUUUUCCCUAGUUGUUUAACAUCAUUUGUGUGUUUGUGAAUUUGAGAACCCUGAGAAAUAUUGCCUGUUAAGUAUACUUUCUUAGUUUUUUGUUUGUUUGUUUGUUUUUUGAGAUGGAGUUUCGCUCCUGUUACCCAGGCUGGAGGGCAAUGGCGCGAUCUCGGCUCACUGCAACCUCCGCCUCCCGGGUUCAAGCGAUUCUCCUGCCUCAGCCUCCCGAGUAGCUGGGAUUACAGGCAUGUGCCACCACGCCUGGCUAACUUUGUAUUUUUAGUAGAGACUGGGUUUCUCCACGUUGGUCAGGCUGGUCCGGAACUCCCGACCUCAGGUGAUCUGCCCGCCUUGGCCUCCGAAAGUGUUGGGAUUACAGGCGUGAGCCACGGCGCCCAGCCUCUUAGUUUGUUUUUAAUCCCAAGUGUUGAAUUCCUUCAAAUGCUCUUCCAUUGUCCAUCCAUCUUUAAAAUAUGGUCAGGAGCGGUAGUGUCUCUAUCGAGGUCACUCUUUUUAUGUCUGUAUUUUAUAAUUUUGUUAAUAUAUGACCCGCAGCGUUUUGUCAUAUUACGGUCUAGGUUAGUGCAGAUAUUGCUUGUGCUUGGGAACAGGAUCAUUUUUAUUUGUGAUUCUGGGUAUAAGUGGAGUUGAGCAGAUCCUGGGAAAGUGAACUAAACUGUUAUUUGAAAAUUGGACUGUAUGUCUCACGACUACUCUCCAUUUCCAUAUGAGUCCAUUUCCCCUAGAUAAAGGAAAUAUUUCAUCAACAAACGAAGGAGGCUUUCAUGAUCCCCCCUUGGCUGAUGCCAACAGAGUGCCAGUAAGAGAGAGACAAAGGUGCAACCAAAAUCAGGGGACCUCAGGGUUCUUCUCUCUACGGCUACUAUGAGAUGAGGAAACACCAAGAAUAAAUAAGAAGAAAGAAGGCUCCAGGUUGUUAAAUUUUUGGCGAUGGGAUGCCAUUUCCUGGCCAAGAGGACAGGAGGACCAGAGAGAGAGGUGAGAGAGCAGCAAGUGACCUUGCGGGAGUCUCACGGCGGGAGUCUUUUAAAAAUCAAAGUGUACCCAGAGUGUGAUGUUCCCCUUCCUGUGUCCAUGUGUUCUCAUUAUUCAAUUCCCACCUACGAGUGAGAACAUGCGGUGUUUGGUUUUUUGUUCUUGCGAUAGUUUACUGAGAAUGAUGAUUUCCAAUUUCAUCCAUGUCCCUACAAAGGACAUGAAUUCAUCAUUUUUUAUGGCUGCAUAGUAUUCCAUGGUGUAUAUGGGCCACAUUUUCUUAAUCCAGUCUAUCAUUGUUGGACAUUUGGGUUGGUUCCAAGUCUUUGCUAUUGUGAAUAGUGCCGCAAUAAACAUACGUGUGCAUGUG